GUCAACACAUGCAAGUCGAGCGGUAACACAGGGAAUCUUGCUCCUGGGUGACGAGCGGCGGACGGGUGAGUAAUGUCUGGGAAACUGCCUGAUGGAGGGGGAUAACUACUGGAAACGGUAGCUAAUACCGCAUAACGUCGCAAGACCAAAGAGGGGGACCUUCGGGCCUCUUGCCAUCAGAUGUGCCCAGAUGGGAUAAGCUAGUAGGUGGGGUAACGGCUCACCUAGGCGACGAUCCCUAGCUGGUCUGAGAGGAUGACCAGCCACACUGGAACUGAGACACGGUCCAGACUCCUACGGGAGGCAGGCAGUAGGGAG
rnacentral:rRNA from 1 species